CGCAGGCGGUUUGUUAAGUCAGAUGUGAAAUCCCCGGGCUCAACCUGGGAACUGCAUCUGAUACUGGCAAGCUUGAGUCUCGUAGAGGGGGGUAGAAUUCCAGGUGUAGCGGUGAAAUGCGUAGAGAUCUGGAGGAAUACCGGUGGCGAAGGCGGCCCCCUGGACGAAGACUGACGCUCAGGUGCGAAAGCGUGGGGAGCAAACAGGAUUAGAUACCCUGGUAGUCCACGCCGUAAACGAUGUCGACUUGGAGGUUGUGCCCUUGAGGCGUGGCUUCCGGAGCUAACGCGUUAAGUCGACCGCCUGGGGAGUACGGCCGCAAGGUUAAAACUCAAAUGAAUUGACGGGGGCCCGCACAAGCGGUGGAGCAUGUGGUUUAAUUCGAUGCAACGCGAAGAACC
rnacentral:rRNA from 1 species